rnacentral:antisense_RNA from 2 species
CUUCACGGAGCCGAGCAGCAGCGGCCGCUCCGGGUCCCGGUCCACACCGUAGGUGGCCUGCAGCGCCUGGGUCUC